AUCAACUUUCGAUGGUAGGAUAGAGGCCUACCAUGGUGGUAACGGGUAACGGGGUGUUAGGGCACGACACCGGAGAGGGAGCCUGAGAAACGGCUACCACAUCCAAGGAUGGCAGCAGGCGCGCAAAUUACCCAAUCCCGACACGGGGAGGUAGUGACAAUAAAUAACAAUACGGGGUUCUUUAGGAUCUCGUAAUUGGAAUGAGUACAAUUUAAAUCUCUUAACGAGGAACAAUUGGAGGGCAAGUCUGGUGCCAGCAGCCGCGGUAAUUCCAGCUCCAAUAGCGUAUAUUAAAGUUGUUGCAGUUAAAAAGCUCGUAGUUGAAUUUCGGGGUUUAUCCGUUGGUCGGGCUUUUUGGUCUGUACUGGCGUGAUGGAUUCCUACCUUCUGAAUAACCGGCAUGCCAUUAAUUUGGUGCGCCGGGGAAGCAGGACUGUUACCUUGAAAAAAUUAGAGUGCUUAAAGCAGGCUUAUGCCUGAAUACAUUAGCAUGGAAUAAUGAAAUAGGACGGCAUGGUUCUAUUUUGUUGGUUUCUAGGAUCACCGUAAUGAUUAAUAGGGAUAGUUGGGGGCAUUAGUAUUCAAUUGUCAGAGGUGAAAUUCUUGGAUUUAUUGAAGACUAACUUCUGCGAAAGCAUUUGCCAAGGAUGUUUUCAUUAAUCAAGAACGAAAGUUAGGGGAUCGAAGACGAUCAGAUACCGUCGUAGUCUUAACCAUAAACUAUGCCGACUAGGGAUCGGACGAUGUUAAUUUUUUAAUGACUCGUUCGGCGCCUUACGGGAAACCAAAGUGUUUGGGUUC
rnacentral:rRNA from 1 species